rnacentral:rRNA from 1 species
UGCAAGUCGAGCGGACAGAUGGGAGCUUGCUCCCUGAUGUUAGCGGCGGACGGGUGAGUAACACGUGGGUAACCUGCCUGUAAGACUGGGAUAACUCCGGGAAACCGGGGCUAAUACCGGAUGGUUGUUUGAACCGCAUGGUUCAAACAUAAAAGGUGGCUUCGGCUACCACUUACAGAUGGACCCGCGGCGCAUUAGCUAGUUGGUGAGGUAACGGCUCACCAAGGCAACGAUGCGUAGCCGACCUGAGAGGGUGAUCGGCCACACUGGGACUGAGACACGGCCCAGACUCCUACGGGAGGCAGCAGUAGGGAAUCUUCCGCAAUGGACGAAAGUCUGACGGAGCAACGCCGCGUGAGUGAUGAAGGUUUUCGGAUCGUAAAGCUCUGUUGUUAGGGAAGAACAAGUACCGUUCGAAUAGGGCGGUACCUUGACGGUACCUAACCAGAAAGCCACGGCUAACUACGUGCCAGCAGCCGCGGUAAUACGUAGGUGGCAAGCGUUGUCCGGAAUUAUUGGGCGUAAAGGGCUCGCAGGCGGUUUCUUAAGUCUGAUGUGAAAGCCCCCGGCUCAACCGGGGAGGGUCAUUGGAAACUGGGGAACUUGAGUGCAGAAGAGGAGAGUGGAAUUCCACGUGUAGCGGUGAAAUGCGUAGAGAUGUGGAGGAACACCAGUGGCGAAGGCGACUCUCUGGUCUGUAACUGACGCUGAGGAGCGAAAGCGUGGGGAGCGAACAGGAUUAGAUACCCUGGUAGUCCACGCCGUAAACGAUGAGUGCUAA